CUAAAAAUCGGUGGUUAAUUCUCUUUUGACAAUUUUUGCUAGCUAGUACACCUUUAGAUAUCUACAUGUGCCAUAGAGUAACCGCACUUCUGAGACACUUAGGGUUUUCUUUUUAUAAUUGUUAAGAUAGGAAAAAGUUGAUAUUGCAGUUACUUACAAAUUUCUUAACUAAACAUCAUGCAGUUCGAUUUUCUGCUUGCGUUGUUUAAGUCUCGAGUACAAGACCUUGGUGUCUAUAUGUAAUAUGACUGCAAUGUGUGACUGGUUCUCUAAUUGGUUGACAAGGUAAUAUAGCAACAAUCUUAACAAUAACAUAGCCAAAUUUAUAGAUGAAAUAUCACAGCCUUCAUCUCAAUCCCUCUUGGCUAUGUAUUUAUUUGUCUUCUGCUACACUAUCAGCCACACUCACUAAUCAAUUAUAGUGCCCAAAUCUUUCUUCACAUAUAUCAGAUAAGUAACUCCACCGCAGAGAUAAAAUAAUUAUCAUUGAAAUAUAUUUUUUAAAGCUAUUUUCUUUUUAUCAACAUCCAUACCAGCAAAUCAAACCUCACCCAUGGAAUGCCCCUUUACUUUUAUAGUCGCGGAGCUUCUUAUGCAUAAGGUUGAUAUGUGUAUGAUUCAAUUUCACUAACAGGAAAUUACUCUUUAAAACGAUAUACAGAUGAUUUUUUACUCUUAUGUCUACUUAUUUGAUUGUGCUGCUCUAUCUGAGGAAAGACGAAAACUAAAUUAUAAAACGGGCAACUUUGUCCUUCAUUUCCGGCACUAAUUAAUGAAAUAUCAAAGAAUAAGUAUAUAGCGGUGGCGAUAUUUGGAUUCCACAGGAUCAUAUCCCGGAAAAAGGCCACACAGUGUUCUCCCCAUCCCUUAUGAACUGGCGAAUCCUGUAUAGGGCGAGAGGCCCUAAAUAAAGGCUUUGUUGUUGUUGUCUUACUCUUAUGUACUAAACACUUUGAGGACAACAUUAUAAAUACACUAAAAAGCUAUCACGCAGAUUUAUCCUUGUAGAGUUGUGAUUUCAUACUAAGUUAAGUGUUCAGAAUUUCCAAUAAAAUUUUCAAACUGUAUCACCUGCCAGAAUGGAAACAGAGGAGCCAGCAGAAAAUGAACCACGUUACUUGAUAAGCCAGUGAUGGGUCAUACCACUUCUCAGUAGGGGCACAUUGGAUCUGUGAAUAUGAAUUCCUGUCAUUAAAAAUAGCUCACCCACAGAUAUAUUGGAUAAAACCAAGUUCAGUGAUAUGCGGCGAUCCACUUAUGCAGAUGAGGCAGACAGGCGUCAAAGGUCUGAGCAAUCUCGGAACCUUUGAAAUAGUGGUUAAAAAUCUCUAAACUACAAGCAUACACAAAUACAUAGAUCAUACAUACAACCUUAGGUACCCAUCUACACUUUACAGUAAUGUCACAAAUAAACUCCAACAUCUUGCACUCGAGGCGCUGGUUCCAAGGAAACUAAGCAAAACAAAGAAAAAUUAAACUUCUUGAGGGUAAUAAUAGCUUUUUACCAAUAACUCACUUGAAUAAUUAUCUGAGCGUACAUUUUAUCAUUUUACAUAUAUAGCUAAACUUUUUAAUGUCUUAUAUACCAAUAUUUUCUCACUAGUUUAAUUUUAUUUGAAUUUAUAUUUUCAAACUAUAAUUAUGCGCGCCUAAAAAUUACUAAGCGCUUGUUGAAGGAUAUGUCAUGUCCACAAAAGGCUAUAAUGAAUGAAUACUCAAUAAUAAAAGAAAUACUUCCUCUUAGUCUUCUCUUUCAGCAUUUCAGAUCAUCUGGGGUUAUUAUUAAAGAUGUAUCUUUUUAUAUGCGUAUUUCGAGGACGCAGGACGUCAAUUAACGUCUUCGCGAAAAUGGCACAGUGCCCGCAGGACGUAUAUUAACGUCCUACUUUCUUAAAAAUCGGUAUAAAAUCAUAGCGCGCGCUACGUCCCGUGGCCACUUGCCCUCCUGCAAGUUUAAACAUGCCUCAAGGUCGUUCACCACUUUGCCACAUGACAGGGUGGAUGGCUGACCAAUUAAAUUGAGAUUUGAGCGCGCGCUUCCUCGAGUUUCCUCCCCUCCCAACCUCUACUGACCUAUUUUUAAUCUGCCGUCAUUUGCCAAUUGUACUUUGCUCGCUUCUUCUUGUCACGUUUUUUUUUUUUUUUUUUUGCUUAAUAUUUUUAUUUGAAGUUUCUAGAUAUUUUCAAUAGACAUUUUUGGAUAAAAAUGAAUCCUGAUCAGCCCAGUACAUCCAAAGUUAUCUCCUCUUGCCCAUCUCCAGAGUGGGAGAUUUAUGACCCCCAUCUUUUUGAUUCUGGAUCAGAAUUAGAUGGUUCUUUUGAGGAUCCAGAUUUCCCACUCCAUGCUAACUCUGAUGAAGAUAUUGAUUCGGAUUCAACAGAAAUAUAUUUUGAGGGACCAAGAGAUGAAGAGGCUCCUGCAACAACAAGGUCUCCUCUGGUAAAUGAUGACUGGAUUGAAACUACUACAUCCACGAUACCCAGACCUCUGUUUACUGCCCAGGGCCGAGUUAUUUCCAGAACCCAACUCUCCUUACCAGAUAUUCAAAAAAUUUAUUGAUGAGGCUUUUUUUGGUAAUCUGAAACUUGAGACUAACCGCUAUGCUAGGGCAACCAUAGACAGAGAAAUAAAAAGGGUCCUUUGAAUCCUAGGAGUCAUUUAGAAAUGUGGAAAGCUGUUUCUGUGUCUGAGCUCAAGAUAUUUAUGGCUAUAAUAAUUCACAUGAGCCUUGUUGUAAAAACCAGAUUGAAAGAUUAUUGGUCAACCCGCAGUGAACUUAGGACAACUUACUGCAGAGAUGUGGGGAUGAUCAGACCACGGUUUGAAGCCAUUCUCUCCAUGCUUCACCUAAAUGACAACGCUUCCUAUGUGGCUUUUAUUCAACCAGGCCAUGAUCCUCUCCAUAAAAUUAGGACAUUCCUUGAUCCUCUGGUCCACAAAUUCAAAACAUAUUACUAUCCCUGCCAACCUUUGACUAUUGACGAAGCUAUAUGUCCUUUUAGAGGAAGAAUAUGGUUCAGAAUAUAUAUCAAAGGAAAGCCACACAAAUAUGGGAUCAAGAUAUUUGAACUUUGUGAAUCAAGUUCAGGAUAUGCCUGCAACAUAGAAGUGUACACGGGAAGCAGCCUGGUCAAGGUGCAGACUACAAUUCGACCUUAAAACUGGUGGAAAGGAUAGCGGCUCCGUACUUCAAUAGAGGACAUGUUAUAUACUUUGACAGAUGGUUCUCCUCUACCACACUUUUUCAAUUUCUCUGGAGAAACAAUACCCAAUCUGUAGGAACAAUAAAGAAAAAUAGAAGAGGCUUUCCAAAAAUAAAUUUUCCAAAAAAUUGAAAAAAGGAGAGGUAAUUUACAGAAUGAAAGGUCCUCUUUUGGCAUUCAAAUGGCAUGAUACUAGGGACGUUUUCAUGGUCUCCACAGCACAUGAUCAUGCCAUGAUACCUGUAACCAAGAAAGCCAGGAAAUCUGACCAACCUCUCACCAUGAAACCAGCUGCAGUAUUGGACUACAACAAGCACAAGGCUGGUGUUGACAGAAGUGACCAGCUCCUCUCUUACUACUCUUUUCAGCGGAGAACUAUGAAAUGGUGGAAAAAGCUUUUCUUUCACAUCUUUGGCCUGACAAUAGUCAAUUCUCAUAUAAUUUAUAAUAAAUUAAAUCCAACAUCCAAACUGUCACUCCGAGACUACCAUCUUGUCAUUAUGGAAAAAAUGGUUGAAGAAGCCAGAGUUGAGAUCACAGAUCAACAACUUGGUAGUUCAAGCUCAAAAGUCAGACUUUUGGAGAGACACUUCAUUACAAGAAUAAAAGAAGAAAACAAGCCAAAUGUAAAUAUCCAACGAAAAUGCAAAGUCUGUGCUGAAAAAGGAAAAAGUGCCACUGGAAAAAGAAUAAGGAAGGACACUGCUUAUAUGUGCAAGACCUGCCUUGUUCCUCUGUGUAUAAAUGAUUGUUUUGAGGCCUUUCACACCAAAAAGAAGUAUUGGCUCUAAUUGGCUCUUAGAAAUGGCCUUUAUAAAUAGUUUUUCCUAAUUUUCAGCAUGUUUUUUGUAUAUAUAACAUUUGUCUAUGUGUUGGAGUGAAUUUAGUUUUUUUUUUUAAAUAUAAUUUUUAAUUUUUUAUUAUUUUAUUUCUUUAUCAAAAUUCAUUUUAUAUAGCAUUAAAAAUAAUUUUAAACCUUAUAUAAAUUGGCUUAUAAAUUUGGCAUAUAUUACAAAAAUAAAUAUAUUAAAUUUUAUUUUUCAUAAAAGUGUCGUUUUUACUGCGUCCUGGUGGACCAUGAGGUCUGCUUAUGCUGCGUCCUCGAAGUGUUAAAACUACAAUUAAAAUUGGUCUAUAGAAUUAUUUUAAUUUUAAAAUUAAAAUAAUUUAUUAAUAAAUAUAUUUUUUUAUUUUCUGUGAAAUAAUAAUAAAAACGAAUAAACCACAGAUUAACUUCAGACAAUAUAAUUAGAACACUCUGUUUUCUAGAAGUCCGUUACGCCAUUGCUAUCUUCUCUUUAAUUAGACUGCAAAGCUAUUAGGAAGCAUUCUUCAAAACUCUUUUCAGAAACUUUAAUACUUACAACUUCUUAACAAUGACUGGACGCGGAAAAGGAGGAAAAGGUCUUGGAAAGGGAGGAGCAAAGCGUCAUCGUAAAGUUCUUCGUGAUAACAUCCAGGGUAUCACCAAGCCCGCCAUUCGUCGUUUGGCUCGUCGUGGCGGCGUCAAGAGAAUUUCGGGUCUGAUUUAUGAAGAAACCCGAGGAGUGCUCAAGGUUUUCCUCGAGAACGUUAUUCGGGAUGCUGUCACCUACACCGAACACGCAAAGAGGAAGACUGUGACUGCCAUGGAUGUUGUUUAUGCCUUGAAACGCCAAGGACGUACCCUGUACGGUUUCGGAGGCUAGAGGAACCAAUCCCCUGUCAAUCUUCCAGUAUGUAUCAUUUUUGGAACCUAUUUUCUCAAUAAAUUUUAAGAACUUUUUUUUUUUUACUUUUUUAAAAGUGAAAUUUAAUUCUUCAAGAGUCAUUGAUAUUUUUUUGUACUUUCAAGUUUAAUAGGAUUUUUUUUUUCUUGUAAAGCGAGUUUUCUUCACCCAAGUAUUCAUAAAAAAAUUUUAUGUAGUCAUUGUGAAUGUGCUCCCUUUGUCUGAAAAAUUCAUGCUUUUAAAAGUUUAAAUAAAUCUAAAUAAUCGACCAACCCAGUUUUCCCCCUUUAAUUUUUGGAACAUACACGUCAUUAUUUGGUCUUAUUCGGAACAUGUAGUAAUUGUAAGUAGCCAUGUAUGUAGUAAUUUUAAAUCUUUUUUUUUUUUUACUCAACUAAAAUAUUUUAUUUUUGCAUAUCAAAAUUUUAUUUUUUACACAUUAAUGUAUGCAACCUAUUUUAGCAUGUUUUAAAAGAUCUAGCUUUAAAGUGACUUGGCAAAAAAAAAUUUACUAGUUAACACAAGUACUUGUUGGUUAUUAUGCAGAUUUUUUCAAAAUGCCUUCUAAUAAAAUUUUUGCAUACUUAUAGCUAGGCAAUUUGUGUUACUUGACAUAGAAAUUUCAAGUUAUGAUUUUGAAUAUUUCUAUGGACAAGUACCAUGUUUACUAACCUUAAACUGAAACAUACCUAAUCCCAUUGACUAUCACUUUGUUAGAUUAGGGUUAGUAAAGAAGGGAACUAGUCCAGAGAGGCCUCCCAACUAAAAUGUUAGAUUAUAAAAUACCAAAAAGAUGUUUAAUAACAAUGCAUUUAACACCAUUGUUUUCAUAUUAGCAAUUUUUCUAUUACCCACAAUAUUUUAUAGGUCAAGUUACUUUGCUAUAAUUUUCUCAAGUUUUUCAAAUUUAAUUUUUUUUUUUUUUAUAAUCCACAAUUACUUAAAAUUUCAGGUUUUAAUAAAAUGUAACUCUAGAAGUAUAAAAGUUUUGUAUUUCAACAAGUGUUAAAGGUACCAAAUAUGUUGGAUUACUUGGGAUUUGACCAUUUUUAAAUGUCACAUAACUAUAACAACUUUGAAUAUAAUCUAAGUAAAAUGGACAAAUAAGUAAAUGUAUAAUUUUUGUUACUACCAUCAACAAAUUCUAUUAAAUAUUCCAGGUUGUAACUAUGGUUUUGCAUACAUUAAGUUUUGUUAACAUUAUAUUCUAAUGUAGACACUACAAAUUGAAAUUUGUAUAAUUAAGUGUUUGUUAACAUUAUUUAAAGCAAUUUAGAUUACAGCUAAGAGAUCUUUUGCCAGAGUUGAAUAUCGCACUCUUUAAAUCUAGUAUAUGAUGUGCUUGUAACUAUCCUUUGAUUGGAAUUGUAAAAUUACUUUAAUGGGAGGUAUUGAUAAAGCUUCAUUUUAAAAAUAUAUUUUCUCAAGGUAAUAAAACCAAAUCCAAACAGUUUGUAAAUUUAUUUGUAUUUGGUCUUAUUACCUUGUGUUUAUGAUCUAUAAUCCAAAUUGUGCCUUAUCAAAAUAUAUUUUGCCAUUGAUGGCCACUUAACUGCCUAGUUAUUGCUUUUAAAGCUGGUCAUUCUAUGGUAAAGGACAAUUUGUAUUAUAGGUAAUAACUCUGUGAUAUUUAGGACUUUUACCUGAAAUUGGUGACAAAGCUGUUUAUUGGUCUAUAUUAGGUACAUGGGUAAGAUUUGACUAAAAGUAUUCAUGCAUAAUGGCUAAAUAGUUUUUUUUUUUAAGACCUUUAAUGUAGAUUUAAAACUAAUAUAAGAAAAAAAUGUAGAUAAGGUACAAUGUGCCUAUUAUAAAUAUUUUUCCCAUAAUGCCAGACCAUAUAGGGUUAAUAGUAGUCCAGCCCUAAAUAAAGGUCAAUUGAGGCCAAAAGUUAGGCCAGAAAUAGAUCUUCACUUUGGGAAGAAUUGCAGAAAAAUGAAGCCCAUUAUAAUAGCUCUCUAAACUAUAUUUCAAAUAUAAAUGCUGGACCAGUUGUAUCAUAGCAGGAAAAUGUGCUCCAGGAAUGUAUGAUGGAAAUUUUGGAUUCACCCCAGUAAGAUUGCCUUUCAAUGAACAGAGUAUAAAGAAUACAUUGUGUUGGGCCAGGAAUAGAAUUACCAACUGGGAAGAUUGGAAUGUAUUUAGCUGUUGUUUCAGUGUUGGCAAAAAUAUAGAUGAUAAUGGUAAAAAUAAAUUGUUUAGUUGUUAAAACAACUUGCUUUUUUUACAAACUCAUUUAGGUCUAGAUCAACAUAAUAAAGUGUCAUGUCAUCACAAUUGAUAUAAACCAAUCUUUUUAAAUGUUUACUAUAGCUUAAUGUGUGGCAUUUUUGCAUUUUGUGAGUAGAGCUGCAUGCAACUCUUUCAAACUAAAAAAUUCAAUAUACAGUAUGGUUAAAAUUUUACACAAAUACAUCAGUAGUGAACCCUCUC
rnacentral:piRNA from 1 species